GGUUAAGCGACUAAGCGUACACGGUGGAUGCCCUGGCAGUCAGAGGCGAUGAAGGGCGUGCUAAUCUGCGAUAAGCGCCGGUAAGGUGAUAUGAACCGUUAUAACCGGCGAUACCCGAAUGGGGAAACCCAGUGUGAUUCGUCACACUAUCAUUAACUGAAUCCAUAGGUUAAUGAGGCGAACCGGGGGAACUGAAACAUCUAAGUACCCCGAGGAAAAGAAAUCAACCGAGAUUCCCCCAGUAGCGGCGAGCGAACGGGGAGGAGCCCAGAGCCUGAAUCAGCAUGUGUGUUAGUGGAAGCGUCUGGAAAGGCGCGCGAUACAGGGUGACAGCCCCGUACACAAAAGCGCAUGUGCUGUGAGCUCGAUGAGUAGGGCGGGACACGUGGUAUCCUGUCUGAAUAUGGGGGGACCAUCCUCCAAGGCUAAAUACUCCUGACUGACCGAUAGUGAACCAGUACCGUGAGGGAAAGGCGAAAAGAACCCCGGCGAGGGGAGUGAAAAAGAACCUGAAACCGUGUACGUACAAGCAGUGGGAGCACCCUUUGGGUGUGACUGCGUACCUUUUGUAUAAUGGGUCAGCGACUUAUAUUCUGUAGCAAGGUUAACCGAAUAGGGGAGCCGGAGGGAAACCGAGUCUUAAUUGGGCGUUAAGUUGCAGGGUAUAGACCCGAAACCCGGUGAUCUAGCCAUGGGCAGGUUGAAGGUUGGGUAACACUAACUGGAGGACCGAACCGACUAAUGUUGAAAAAUUAGCGGAUGACCUGUGGCUGGGGGUGAAAGGCCAAUCAAACCGGGAGAUAGCUGGUUCUCCCCGAAAGCUAUUUAGGUAGCGCCUCGUGAAUUCAUCUCCGGGGGUAGAGCACUGUUUCGGCUAGGGGGCCAUCCCGGCUUACCAACCCGAUGCAAACUGCGAAUACCGGAGAAUGUUAUCACGGGAGACACACGGCGGGUGCUAACGUCCGUCGUGAAGAGGGAAACAACCCAGACCGCCAGCUAAGGUCCCAAAGUCAUGGUUAAGUGGGAAACGAUGUGGGAAGGCCCAGACAGCCAGGAUGUUGGCUUAGAAGCAGCCAUCAUUUAAAGAAAGCGUAAUAGCUCACUGGUCGAGUCGGCCUGCGCGGAAGAUGUAACGGGGCUAAACCAUGCACCGAAGCUGCGGCAGCGACACUGUGUGUUGUUGGGUAGGGGAGCGUUCUGUAAGCCUGUGAAGGUGUGUCGUGAGGCAUGCUGGAGGUAUCAGAAGUGCGAAUGCUGACAUAAGUAACGAUAAAGCGGGUGAAAAGCCCGCUCGCCGGAAGACCAAGGGUUCCUGUCCAACGUUAAUCGGGGCAGGGUGAGUCGACCCCUAAGGCGAGGCCGAAAGGCGUAGUCGAUGGGAAACGGGUUAAUAUUCCCGUACUUGGUGUUACUGCGAAGGGGGGACGGAGAAGGCUAUGUUGGCCGGGCGACGGUUGUCCCGGUUUAAGCGUGUAGGUGUGUGUUCCAGGUAAAUCCGGUUCACUUUAACACUGAGGCGUGACGACGAGGCACUACGGUGCUGAAGCAACAAAUGCCCUGCUUCCAGGAAAAGCCUCUAAGCAUCAGGUAACAUCAAAUCGUACCCCAAACCGACACAGGUGGUCAGGUAGAGAAUACCAAGGCGCUUGAGAGAACUCGGGUGAAGGAACUAGGCAAAAUGGUGCCGUAACUUCGGGAGAAGGCACGCUGACACGUAGGUGAAGUGAUUUACUCAUGGAGCUGAAGUCAGUCGAAGAUACCAGCUGGCUGCAACUGUUUAUUAAAAACACAGCACUGUGCAAACACGAAAGUGGACGUAUACGGUGUGACGCCUGCCCGGUGCCGGAAGGUUAAUUGAUGGGGUCAGCGCAAGCGAAGCUCCUGAUCGAAGCCCCGGUAAACGGCGGCCGUAACUAUAACGGUCCUAAGGUAGCGAAAUUCCUUGUCGGGUAAGUUCCGACCUGCACGAAUGGCGUAAUGAUGGCCAGGCUGUCUCCACCCGAGACUCAGUGAAAUUGAACUCGCUGUGAAGAUGCAGUGUACCCGCGGCAAGACGGAAAGACCCCGUGAACCUUUACUAUAGCUUGACACUGAACAUUGAGCCUUGAUGUGUAGGAUAGGUGGGAGGCUUUGAAGUGUGGACGCCAGUCUGCAUGGAGCCGACCUUGAAAUACCACCCUUUAAUGUUUGAUGUUCUAACGUGGACCCGUUACCCGGGUUGCGGACAGUGUCUGGUGGGUAGUUUGACUGGGGCGGUCUCCUCCUAAAGAGUAACGGAGGAGCACGAAGGUUGGCUAAUCCUGGUCGGACAUCAGGAGGUUAGUGCAAUGGCAUAAGCCAGCUUGACUGCGAGCGUGACGGCGCGAGCAGGUGCGAAAGCAGGUCAUAGUGAUCCGGUGGUUCUGAAUGGAAGGGCCAUCGCUCAACGGAUAAAAGGUACUCCGGGGAUAACAGGCUGAUACCGCCCAAGAGUUCAUAUCGACGGCGGUGUUUGGCACCUCGAUGUCGGCUCAUCACAUCCUGGGGCUGAAGUAGGUCCCAAGGGUAUGGCUGUUCGCCAUUUAAAGUGGUACGCGAGCUGGGUUUAGAACGUCGUGAGACAGUUCGGUCCCUAUCUGCCGUGGGCGCUGGAGAACUGAGGGGGGCUGCUCCUAGUACGAGAGGACCGGAGUGGACGCAUCACUGGUGUUCGGGUUGUCAUGCCAAUGGCACUGCCCGGUAGCUAAAUGCGGAAGAGAUAAGUGCUGAAAGCAUCUAAGCACGAAACUUGCCCCGAGAUGAGUUCUCCCUGAGACUUUAGGUCUCCUGAAGGAACGUUGAAGACGACGACGUUGAUAGGCCGGGUGUGUAAGCGCAGCGAUGCGUUGAGCUAACCGGUACUAAUGAACCGUGAGGCUUAACCUU
rnacentral:rRNA from 1 species